rnacentral:rRNA from 1 species
UACGAAGGGGGCUAGCGUUGCUCGGAAUCACUGGGCGUAAAGGGUGCGUAGGCGGGUUUUUAAGUCAGAGGUGAAAUCCUGGAGCUCAACUCCAGAACUGCCUUUGAUACUGAAAGUCUUGAGUAUGGGAGAGGUGAGUGGAACUGCGAGUGUAGAGGUGAAAUUCGUAGAUAUUCGCAAGAACACCAGUGGCGAAGGCGGCUCACUGGCCAUAACUGACGCUGAGGCACGAAGCGAGUGG